rnacentral:lncRNA from 1 species
UUGUGAUGGACUAGUUUGAGCACCCCUGUAGGGUUUAAUCUUUCGGAAAGCCGUGCCCAUGGUUAUGUGGCAACGUGGAAACUUUAUUUAACACUAGUUCUAGACAACUUGAAGUGAACUUAAUGAAAACAUGCCAACUGAGUGCGUAACCGUGACUGUCUCUUUCGCGAGCUCCUUCUCCGAUCGAGGACACGAUGGGGUUAUGUCUGACGUAGGUAGGUGUUCAGGAUCAUUCAUUUGAUCAUCAGUAGUUCACGUCCGCUAUGCGUAGAUCAUCCCCCUCUUUAUUCUUGUACUCGUAAGUUAGCCACCUCAUAUAUUGCUUAGUCACUUGCUGCAGCCUCACCACUUAACCAUACCUCGUCCAUUAAGCUUUGCUAGUCUUGAUACCUUUGGAAAUGAGAUUGCUGAGUCCCAUGUGGCUCAUAAAUUACUACAACACCAGUUGUAGGUACAGGUAAAGGUUACUUGACGCGAGCGCGUUUAUUGUUCAUUUGG